rnacentral:rRNA from 1 species
UACGAAUGUGGCAAGCGUUGUUCGGAAUCACUGGGCGUAAAGAAUGCGUAGGCGGCUUAACAAGUCGGGAGUGAAAUCCCAGGGCUUAACCCUGGAACUGCUCUCGAAACUGUUUUGCUAGAGUCCCGGAGGGGUUAGCGGAAUUCCGAGUGUAGAGGUGAAAUUCGCAGAUAUUCGGAGGAACACCAGUGGCGAAGGCGGCUAACUGGACGGGAACUGACGCUGAGGCAUGAAAGUGUGGGGAUCAAACAGGAUUAGAUACCCUGGUAGUCCACACCGUAAACGAUGUGUGCUAGUUGUCGGGCAGCUUCGCUGUUCGGUGACGGAGCUAACGUUUUAAGCACACCGCCUGGGAAGUACGGCCGCAAGGUUAAA